UGUUGGUUCUCCCGCAACGCUAGCUUGUGAAUUCGGUCAGGUCCGGAAGGAAGCAGCCGUAGCAGGUGAUGUGUGUGCCGGGAUGUAGCUGGCAGGGC
rnacentral:SRP_RNA from 1 species